rnacentral:lncRNA from 1 species
CCUGUCCUCACGGGUUGCAUCCCAGCCCCCUCUAGAGGCAGGUUUUGUGAGGCAAGCAUUUUCCUGGUGGCUGACGUGUCCCAGCACCUGGAGAAAAUCGUGCCUGCUUGUGGUGGGUGCUCAGAAGAUGCCAACCGGAUGGAAGACAGUCAGAGGCUCACAGACGGAAGGGAUUGUGAGGAGCCAGGAGACUUUAGGGUCUCUGAAAGGAAAGCAAGGAUCAGGGAGACAGACGGAAACAGGCAGAGAGACACACGAGAGUUUAGUGUCAGAGCUGACAAAUGAAGGCCACCUCUCCCCAGACGGAGAGGGCCAAACAGGCUUCAGGUCCUGAUGCCGUGGUUAAGGUGGGGUCGGUGUGAGGGGUGGUGAGUCUUUCUCAGAAACACCCUUGGGCAGAAAGCGAGACUUUUUCUUAAGAUGGCGGCUGUCACUUAGGAUGGCCGUCCAGAUGCUGAGCAAGGACCUCGCAGUCUCCAGAUGGUCACUUGCUGGCUGGCAAGGCAGGGGGAUUCUGAGGACCAUCUUAUUCUGAUGACAAGGAGAUAGUUUCAAGUUUCAAAACAGGAUGGCCUGUAGCUCUGGGAACUUUGGGGCCCCUUCAUUACUAUGCCGUGACCCUUGUCACGGUCAUCAGCCGACUGGGUCUUGUGUUUGCUUGGAUCUUGAGAUAAGUAGGAACCUACGUAUGCACUUAAACUUAUCUCUGCCCACUCACCUGCCUGCUGCCAUCGACUUCUCUGUCACCCUUCACCCAUCCAUCCACGUCUGGCCACCCAUCCUCCAUCCACGUUCACCUUCCGCGUCCACCUACCCUCUGUCCCUUCAUCAGUCCACGACCCCUCCACCCACCCAUUCAUGUCUCCACCCACCGUCAUCCACCCGUGUCUCCACCCACCCAUUUUUUUUCUACACUUACAAUAUGGAGCUCACAUUGCACAUGCAACAUUUUGUGUCCUGAACUUUCACUUAAUAUUGCAGUGUGCAUAUCUUCUCAUGAAAAUUUAAAUGGUUG